CAUACAGUCAGAUACACACACAUACAGUCAGAUACACACAUACAGUCAGAUAUACACACAUAGUCAGAUACACACAUACAGUCAGAUACACAUAUACAGUCAGAUAUACACAUACAGUCAGAUAUACACACAUACAGUCAGAUACACACAUACAGUCAGAUAUACACACAUAGUCAGAUACACACAUACAGUCAGAUACACAUAUACAGUCAGAUAUACACAUACAGUCAGAUAUACACACAUACAGUCAGAUAUACACACAUACAGUCAGAUACACACAUACAGUCAGAUAUACACACACAUAGUCAGAUACACACAUACAGUCAGAUAUACACACAUA